AACGAACGCUGGCGGCGCGCCUAAUACAUGCAAGUCGAGCGAGAAGGUGUAGCAAUACACUUGUAAAGCGGCGAACGGGUGAGGAAUACAUGGGUAAUCUACCAUCGAGUGGGAAUAACCAACCGAAAGGUUGGCUAAUACCGCGUACGCCUCCGAGUCUUCGGGUUCGGAGGGAAAGCUGCACUGUGAGUGUAGCGCUCUUUGAUGAGCUCAUGUCCUAUCAGCUUGUUGGUAGGGUAACGGCCUACCAAGGCUUUGACGGGUAGCUGGUCUGAGAGGACGAUCAGCCACACUGGCACUGCGACACGGGCCAGACUCCUACGGGAGGCAGCAGUAAGGAAUAUUGCGCAAUGGGCGAAAGCCUGACGCAGCGACGCCGCGUGGGGAUGAAGGUCUUCGGAUUGUAAACCCCUUUCGGGAGGGAAGAUGGAGCGAGCAAUCGUUCGGACGGUACCUCCAGAAGCAGCCACGGCCAACUUCGUGCCAGC
rnacentral:rRNA from 1 species